GAGAUUGGAUAAUAUGCCCCUCUUUACUUGGGCAGUAGAUAAUUUGCCCCUCUUUACCUUCGGUUGGAUGAUUUGCCCUGCUUUUCUUUUCCCAGUAGAUAAUAUGCCCUUUUUAAUUACUGUAAUCAUUUCUCAGUUUUUAUCCCAAUUUUCACCAUGCGAAAUGACCCGACUGCCCUUGUGGCAAAUUGCAAUUAUGUCCUAGUCUCCUUCCCUCUUUGCUUCCACUGAACAGUCCAUCUCCCCAGUUCAUCCCCUUUCUCCCGUUCCUCUCUCUCCCCACUGUACAUGUACUGAAGUGAGAUCCUGGAGGAGGCCGACGAGGACACCUUGGACCCCAUCUUGGCGGCGGCUACCGCUGCAGCUCGGCGGCAGGGGCCACCGUUAAACUCGGAGACGCGGGCUGGCUCCUGCAGGUCGGAGGCGCUGUAGCUCCUCUGCAUCUCGGCGGCCCGGUAGCUCCGCUGCAGCUUGGAGCUGCGGAAUAGGCGGAUGGCGCCGUCGUUGCUCGUUUCGGCGAGGAAAAUCCUCGUCGUUGCAGCUGCCACUACCUGCCGUAGGUGGCGUCUGGUCCGCCUGCGCCGGCACUCCGUGAAGCUGGUGACUUUCCUCGGCAAGGGAGGCUCCAGCAAAACCACAUCGGCAGCCGUUGUCGCUCAGGUUCAUCAACGCCAUAUGGGAGGGAGGGUCUGAGGCGGAAGGGAGGACCAAAUGCUUACCAAUCUGGAGCAUCUUGUGGCGAUCCAUGGAUACAGGAGUUGCCUCGUCCGGCACUCUGUGGAAUCACCUCGCCGGCUGCUGGUGUGAACCCUCGCUGCCCAGGGGUCGCCAGAGUUGAUGGCUUGGUGGCCGGCUGUCCAGGGGCCGCCGGAGUUGACGGCUUGGUGGCCGGCUGUCCAGGGGCCGCCGGAGUUGACGGCUUGGUGGCCGGCGGUGCAUCCGCCUGUCCGCUGGGCACGGACAUGAGAUGAUGCAACGUAAUAGAAUCAAUCUACGAUUUCUUGAUCAGUUGGUUCUGUUGUGUAUACCAACGUAAAGAGGGAAGGAGACUAGGACAUAAUUGCAAUUUGCCACAAGGGCAGUCGGGUCAUUUCGCAUGGUGAAAAUUGGGAUAAAAACUGAGAAAUGAUUACAGUAAUUAAAAAGGGCAUAUUAUCUACUGGAAAAAGAAAAGCAGGGCAAAUCAUCCAACCGAAA